AAUAUGGAAAUGAGUUAGAAAUUGUACUUCCUUUUCAUCUGCUACUUUUUUCUGGCAUACACAGUGGUUGUAAGAUGUGUUGGGUUUUUCUGAGCUGUGCUAUCAGAAUCUCCAUUCUUUAGUCAAUAAUUUCACAAGUGCCAAGUGGUUGUGCCUAGGGCAUCUUCUUUUUAGCUGUGCUGACAUAGGAACUGUAUCAUG
rnacentral:lncRNA from 10 species